rnacentral:rRNA from 1 species
CCUACGGGCGGCAGCAGUGGGGGAUAUUGGACAAUGGGGGAAACCCUGAUCCAGCGAUGCCGCGUGAGGGAAGAAGGUUUUCGGAUUGUAAACCUCUUUUGUCGGGGAGCAAAGCGAGUCACGUGUGACUCAUUGAGAGUACCCGAAGAAAAAGCAUCGGCUAACUCCGUGCCAGCAGCCGCGGUAAUACGGGGGAUGCGAGCGUUAUCCGGAUUUAUUGGGUUUAAAGGGUGCGCAGGCGGGGGUGCAAGUCAGCGGUCAAAUUGCGGGGCUCAACCCCGUACUGCCGUUGAAACUGCAUCCCUUGAGUGCGCGAGAGGUAUGCGGAAUGCGUGGUGUAGCGGUGAAAUGCAUAGAUAUCACGCAGAACUCCGAUUGCGAAGGCAGCAUACCGGCGCGCAACUGACGCUCAUGCACGAAAGCGUGGGUAUCGAACAGGAUUAGAUACCCCUGUAGUC